UACAGGGGGGGGCAAGCGUUUGUUCGGAAUUACUGGGCGUAAAGGGGUUGUAGGCGGCCGACUAAGUCCGACGUGAAAUCCCAAGGCUUAACCUUGGAACUGCGUCGGAUACUGGAUGGCUUGAAUUCGGGGAGAGGGAUGCAGAAUUCCAGGUGUAGCGGUGAAAUGCGUAGAUAUCUGGAGGAAUACCGGUGGCGAAGGCGGCAUCCUGGACCGACAUUGACGCUGAGAACCGAAAGCUAGGGGAGCAAACGGG
rnacentral:rRNA from 1 species